UACGGAGGGGGCUAGCGUUGUUCGGAAUUACUGGGCGUAAAGCGCACGUAGGCGGCUUUGUAAGUUAGAGGUGAAAACCCAGGGCUCAACCCUGGAAUUGCCUUUAAGACUGCAUCGCUUGAAUUGUGGAGAGGUAAGUGGAAUUCCGAGUGUAGAGGUGAAAUUCGUAGAUAUCGGGAGGAACACCAGUGGCGAAGGCGGCGAUCUGGGAAGAUACUGACGCUGAGGUGCGAAAGCGUGGGGAGCAAACAGG
rnacentral:rRNA from 1 species